CGUGUAGGCUGCUCGGAAAGUCGGAUGUGAAGGCCCUGGGCUCAACCUAGGAAGUGCAUUCGAAACUUCCGAGCUGGAGUGCUGGAGAGGAAGGCGGAAUUCUCGGUGUAGAGGUGAAAUUCGUAGAUAUCGAGAGGAACAUCGGUGGCGAAGGCGGCCUUCUGGACAGCGACUGACGCUGAGACGCGAAAGCGUGGGGAGCAAACA
rnacentral:rRNA from 1 species